rnacentral:rRNA from 1 species
GUAGGUGGCAAGCGUUGUCCGGAAUUAUUGGGCGUAAAGCGCGCGCAGGGUGGUUCUUUAAGUCUGAUGUGAAAGCCCCCGGGCUCAACCGGGGAGGGUCAUUGGAAACUGGGGAACUUGAGUGCAGGAGAGGAAAGUGGAAUUCCACGUGUAGCGGUGAAAUGCGUAGAUAUGUGGAGGAACACCAGUGGCGAAGGCGACUUUCUGGCCUGUAACUGACACUGAGGCGCGAAAGCGUGGGGAGCAAACGGGAUUAGAUACCCUGGUAGUCCACGCCGUAAACGAUGAGUGCUAAGUGUUGGGGGGUUUCCGCCCCUCAGUGCUGCAGCUAACGCAUUAAGCACUCCGCCUGGGGAGUACGGUCGCAAAGACUG